GACGAACGCUGGCGGCGUGCUUAACACAUGCAAGUCGAACGGGUCUGCCCUGUUUUUUGCGGGGUGGGUCAGUGGCGAACGGGUGAGUAACACGUGAGUAACCUGCCCCUCACUUCUGGAUAACCGCUUGAAAGGGUGGCUAAUACGGGGUGUUCUGGCUGUGCCGCAUGGUGUGGCUGGGAAAGAUUCACUUUUGUGGUGUUUUGGUGGGGGAUGGGCUCGCGGCCUAUCAGCUUGUUGGUGGGGUGAUGGCCUGCCAAGGCUUUGACGGGUAGCCGGCCUGAGAGGGUGGGCGGUCACACUGGGACUGAGAUACGGCCCAGACUCCUGCGGGAGGCAGCAGGGGGGGGUAUGGCACAAUGGGCGGAAGCCUGAUGCAGCGACGUCGCGUGAGGGAUGGAGGCCUUCGGGUUGUGAACCUCUUUCGCCGGUGAAGAAGGUCCUGCUCUUUGUGGUGGGGUUGACGGUAGCCGGGUUAUGAAGCGCCGGCUAACUACGUG
rnacentral:rRNA from 1 species